GUGAUUUCUGUCUGUCACACACCAUUGCUUGGACAACUGCCAUUGCAGUUCUCUUGGGCUUUAAUCUUUUCUAUUUUUUUUUUUUUGAGACAGGGUCUUGCUCUGUUGCCCAGGCUGGAGUACAGUGGCAUGAACAUAGCUCACUGCAGCCUUGACCUCCUGACUGAAGCAAUCCUUCUGCCUCAGCCUCCAGAGUAGCUGGGACGACAGGCAUGCACCACCACACCCUACUAAUCUUUUAAUUUUUUGUAGAGACAGGAUCUCCCUAUGUUGCCCAAGCUGGUCUCAAACUCCUGGACUCAAGCAAGCCUCCUACCUCGGCCUCCUGAAGUGUUGGGAUUACAGGCAUGAGCCACGGUGCACAGCAAGAGCUUUAACCUUAAUGACCAUUCAUUCUCUACCCCACAUUACCUACAACUGAUACAGCUAAUCCUUUCACCUUAUUUGGAUGCGAUGUCAGAAUCCCUUCUGUGGCUGGCGAAGUCUCAGCACUAACUGGAGAGAAGACUUAUAGGCCUUUGCAUCUGAAGACAAACUCUGCCUGAGGUGGAAAAGAGAGGCUGGGAAGAGCGUUGAGGUUGACAUUUGACAGCCUCAUCAGCUCAGGGCUGAAAAAGACAAGCUGGCCAGGUGCAGUGGCUCAUGCCUGUAAUCCCAGCACUUUGGGAGGCCAAGACAGGCGGAUCACUUGAGGCCAGGAGUUUGAGACCAGCUUGACCAACAUGGUGAAACCCCAU
rnacentral:lncRNA from 10 species